CUACGGGCGGCAGCAGUGGGGAAUAUUGGACAAUGGGGGAAACCCUGAUCUAGCCAUGCCGCGUGAGUGAUGAAGGCCUUAGGGUUGUAAAGCUCUUUCGCUGGGGAAGAUAAUGACGGUACCCAGUAAAGAAACCCCGGCUAACUCCGUGCCAGCAGCCGCGGUAAUACGGAGGGGGUUAGCGUUGUUCGGAAUUACUGGGCGUAAAGCGCGCGUAGGCGGGCUAUUAAGUCAGGGGUGAAAUCCCGGGGCUCAACCCCGGAACUGCCUUUGAUACUGGUAGUCUUGAGUUCGAGAGAGGUGAGUGGAAUUCCGAGUGUAGAGGUGAAAUUCGUAGAUAUUCGGAGGAACAUCAGUGGCGAAGGCGACUCACUGGCUCGAUACUGACGCUGAGGUGCGAAAGUGUGGGGAGCAAACAGGAUUAGAUACCCUCGUAGUC
rnacentral:rRNA from 1 species